rnacentral:rRNA from 1 species
GACAGAGGUGCCGAGCGUUAGGCGGAAUCACUGGGCUUAAAGCGUGUGUAGGCGGAUUGCUAAGUACCUUGUGAAAUCCCACGGCUCAACCGUGGAACUGCUUGGUAUACUGGUUAUCUUGAGCCACUUAGGGGCGAGCGGAACAAAUGGUGGAGCGGUGAAAUGCGCAGAUAUCAUUUGGAACACCAAUGGUGAAAACAGCUCGCUGGGAGUGUGCUGACGCUGAGACACGAAAGCCAGGGGAGCGAACGGG